GCUGUGUCUGUACCUCUUCUCCCAGGUUGGAGCCGAUCUUCACCACGUGCUCUUCAUUCCCAUCGUUCAAAGGAAUUGAGACAAGAUCUUCAAUCGGCUCAUCCCGUUCUUCAGCAAGGUCAUCGUGGGUAUCUAAUCCAUCAACCGGACAGGGGUCAGACUGACCAUUUUUUUAUAAGGCUAUGUUAUAGUAGUGUCUUGCCAGGACUUGAUCUCCUCUGACCUCUCUGACCCCUUGGCUUAUUGAAAAUUUUAAUUUCAAAUGGUAGGUCGACACCACAGCU
rnacentral:lncRNA from 1 species